UACGUAGGGUGCGAGCGUUAAUCGGAAUUACUGGGCGUAAAGCGUGCGCAGGCGGUUUUGUAAGCCGGAUGUGAAAUCCCCGGGCUUAACCUGGGAAUGGCAUUCGGGACUGUAAGGCUGGAGUGCGGCAGAGGAGACUGGAAUUCCUGGUGUAGCAGUGAAAUGCGUAGAUAUCAGGAGGAACACCGAUGGCGAAGGCAGGUCUCUGGGCUGACACUGACGCUCAUGCACGAAAGCGUGGGGAGCAAACAGG
rnacentral:rRNA from 1 species